UACGUAGGGUGCGAGCGUUGUCCGGAAUUAUUGGGCGUAAAGAGCUCGUAGGCGGUUUGUCGCGUCGACUGUGAAAACUGGGGGCUUAACUCUCAGCUUGCAGUUGAUACGGGCAGACUUGAGUUCGGUAGGGGAGACUGGAAUUCCUGGUGUAGCGGUGAAAUGCGCAGAUAUCAGGAGGAACACCGAUGGCGAAGGCAGGUCUCUGGGCUGACACUGACGCUCAUGCACGAAAGCGUGGGGAGCAAACAGG
rnacentral:rRNA from 1 species